ensembl:snRNA U1 U1 spliceosomal RNA
UUAUUUAGGUACAAGAAGCAUACAAUAAACUGUACAUGUUAAAGGCCUACAAUUUGACACUCCAGAUGUGCUGACCCCUGAGAUUUCCCCAAAUGUGGGAAACUUGACUGCUUAAUUUGUGGUAGUAGGGGACUGCAUUCAUGCUCUCCCUUA